GCCCGUUUAGCUCAGUGGUAGAGCGCGCCACUCGUAAGUCGCAUGAUUAUGGUGAGGUCGGUCGUUCAAUCCGGCCAAUGGGCA